UGAAGUAAGUAAGGGCGUACGGUGAAUGCCUUGGUGCCAACAGGCGAAGAAGGACGCGGCAAGCUGCGAAAAGCCUCGGGAAGCUGCAAGCAAGCGAUGAUCCGGGGAUAUCCGAAUGGGGUAACCUGAUCGAGGCAAUACUCGAUCGUUCAUACCUGAAUACAUAGGGUAUGAAACGCGAAACCCGCUGAAGUGAAACAUCUCAGUAAGCGGAGGAAAAGAAAGAGAAAUCGAUUCCGUAAGUAGUGGCGAGCGAAAGCGGAUGGAGCCCAAACCGAAGGUAUUCCUUCGGGGUUGUAGGACCACGUCAUAUUCGACCAUACUGGAUAGUAGAACAGCCUGGAAAGGCUGGCCGGAGAAGGUGAAAGCCCUGUAGACGAAAUCCAGAGUGGGAAUUAGUGGUAUCCUGAGUAAUACAUCACACGUGGAACGAUGUAUGAACCCGCGCGGACCACCGCGCAAGGCUAAAUACUAGUUGGCGACCGAUAGUGAACAAGUACCGCGAGGGAAAGGUGAAAAGAACCGCUGUGAGCGGAGUGAAAUAGAACCUGAAACCGUAUGUCUACAAAGUGUCAGAGCAGAGCAAUCUGCGAUGGCGUGCCUUUUGUUUAAUGAGUCUGCGAGUCAGUGUUUGUGGCAAGACUAAGGGCUUCCGGCCCGGAGUCGCAGCGAAAGCAAGUCCGAACAGGGCGCAAUAAGUCGCAGGUACUGGACCCGAAGCGGAGGUGACCUACCCUUGGCCAGGUUGAAGCAUGGGUAAAACCAUGUGGAGGACCGAACAGGUGAACGUUGAAAAGUUCUCUGAUGAGCUGAGGGUAGGAGUGAAAGGCUAAUCAAACCCCGUGAUAGCUGGUUCUCUUCGAAAUGCAUUUAGGUGCAGCGUCACGUGCUGAUGCGCGGGGGUAGAGCACUGACAAGGCUAGGGGGCACACCCGCUUACCAAACCUUAUCAAACUCCGAAUACCGUGCAAUGGAACGUGGCAGUGAGACAGUGGGGGAUAAGCUUCAUUGUCGAGAGGGAAACAACCCAGACCAGCAGCUAAGGUGCCUAAAUAACGCUCAGUGGAAAGGAUGUGGGAUUACACAGACAGUGAGGAUGUUGGCUUAGAAGCAGCCACCAUUUAAAAAAUGCGUAAUAGCUUACUCAUCGAGUGAUCCUGCGCCGAAAAUGAUUGGCGAUCAAGCGUUAUACCGAAGCUCUGGACUUUGCCGCAAGGCAGAGUGGUAGAAGAGCGUUGCAUGCGCGUCGAAGGGCGAUGGCGACUGACCCUGGAGCACAUGCAAGUGAGUAUGCAGACAUGAGUAACGUUAAGCCGGGUGAAAUCCCCGGCCGCCGUAAACCCGAGGUUUCCAGGGCAACGUGUUUCGUCCCUGGGUUAGCCGGGACCUAAGCCGAGGCCGAGAGGCGUAGGCGAUGGACAUCAGGUUAAUAAUCCUGAGCUCGCAACCCUUAAACUGGGGGGACGCAUGAGAAAAGAUGACUAGGUUAUUGAAUUCCGAGUUGAGUCUACGGACUCAGCGCAUCAUUGGAUCGAGUGCCAAGAAAAGCCCCAGCGUAUGCUAAGCGACCCGUACCGCAAACCGACACAGGUGGGUGGGUAGAAUAUACCAAGGCGUAAGAGUGAAACCUGGUUAAGGAACUCGGCAAAUUAGCCCCGUAACUUCGGAAGAAGGGGUGCCUGCAGCGAUGCAGGCCGCAGAGAAAUGGCCCAACCGACUGUUUAUCAAAAACACAGCACUCUGCAAAGACGCAAGUCGAAGUAUAGGGUGUGACACGUGACCAAUGCCGAAAGAUUAAGGCAAGGGGUUAGCCGCAAGGCGAAGCUCUAAACCCAAGUCCCGGUGAAUGUCGGCCGUAACUAUAACGGUCCUAAGGUAGCGAAAUUCCUUGUCGGGUAAGUUCCGACCUGCACGAAUCGUGAAACGAGUUGGGCACUGUCUCAACCAGGCGCUCAGUGAAAUUGUAGUGGCGGUGAAGAUGCCGCCUACCCGCAGAAGGACGGAAAGACCCUAUAGACCUUAACUGUAAGCUGUCAUUGUUUCUUCGGUUUUAAUGCUCAGAGUAAGUGGGAGACGCUGAAGACGCCCUUUAGGGGGCGUCCGAGUCAUCAAUGAGACACCACCCUUUGAAACUGGAGGAUCUAACCCUGAGCCGUGAAUCCGGCCAGAGGACCGUGUCAGCCGGUCAGUUUUACUGGGGCGGUAUCCUCCCAAAGAGUAACGGAGGAGCGCGAAGGUGGGCUCAGCCCGGUUGGCAACCGGGUGUCGAGUGCAUGGGCAUAAGCCCGCCUAACUGUGAGACCAACAAGUCGAGCAGAUGCGAAAGCAGGCCCAAGUGAUCCGGCGGUAGAAAGUGGAAUUGCCGUCGCUCAACGGAUAAAAGGUACCUUAGGGAUAACAGGCUGAUCACGCCCAAGAGUUCAUAUCGACGGCGUGGUUUGGCACCUCGAUGUCGGCUCGUCGCAUCCUGGGGCUGAAUUCGGUCCCAAGGGUUUGGCUGUUCGCCAAUUAAAGCGGCACGCGAGCUGGGUUCAGAACGUCGUGAGACAGUUCGGUCCCUAUCUGUUGCGGGCGUAAGAGAUUUGAAGGGAGCUGUCCUUAGUACGAGAGGACCGGGAUGGACGUACCUCUGGUGCACCAGUUGUCCUGCCAAGGGCAUAGCUGGGUAGCUAUGUACGGACGAGAUAAACGCUGAAAGCAUCUAAGCGUGAAACUCCCCCUAAGAUGAGAUCUCUCAUCCUUUAAGGAGUAAGGACCCAGAAAGACGAUCUGGUUGAUAGGCCGAAGGUGGAAGCGCAGUAAUGUGUGCAGCUGAUCGGUACUAAUAGUCCGAGGGCUUGACCUA
rnacentral:rRNA from 1 species